ACAUUCGUAGUGUAGGGGUUAUCAUCUGAGCUUCCCAUUUUAAUAAGUGUGAUUGCUUAGGACCCGGGUUCGAGUCCCGGCGGAUGUA
rnacentral:tRNA from 1 species